rnacentral:snoRNA from 1 species
GUUGUAUUGUGAUGAGAAAUCUUCAUAUUUAAACAGUUAUCCCUGUCUUAAUAAACCAUGUCGAGGAUCUUUUAUUCUGAAAUCAAC